CAGUCGCCACGGUAAUACGAAGGGUGCAAGCGUUACUCGGAAUUACUGGGCGUAAAGCGUGCGUAGGUGGUGGUUUAAGUCCGUUGUGAAAGCCCUGGGCUCAACCUGGGAAUUGCAGUGGAUACUGGGUCACUAGAGUGUGGUAGAGGAUAGUGGAAUUUCCGGUGUAGCAGUGAAAUGCGUAGAGAUCGGAAGGAACAUCUGUGGCGAAGGCGACUAUCUGGGCCAACACUGACACUGAGGCACGAAAGCGUGGGGAGCAAACAGGAUCAGAUACCCCAGUAGUCCCUGUCUCUUAUAC
rnacentral:rRNA from 1 species